GAUGAACGCUGGCGGCGUGCCUAAUACAUGCAAGUCGAGCGAAGAGACGAGGAUCGUGCGCCGCUUACGUUAGCGGCGGACGGGUGAGUAACACGUGGAUAACCUAUCUAUAAGACUUGGACAACUUCGGGAAACCCGAGCUCAUACUGGAUAAGAUAUUGAACCGCAGGGUGUAAGAGUGAAAUACGGUUUUUGUGUCACUUAUAGAUGUAUCCGCUCCGCAUUAGAGAGUUGGUAAGGUAACGGCUUACCAAGUCGACGAUGCGUAGCCGACCUCAGAGGCUGGUCGCCGACACUGGAGCUGAAACACGGUCAAGACUCCUACGGGAGGCCGCAGUCGGGUAUGUUACGCAGUAGUCGAAAGCAUGACGCAGCAAGGCCGCGUGAGUGAUGACGGUCCUCCGUUCGUAAAACUCGGUUAUUAGGUAUGAACCAAUGUCUAAGUAGAUAUGGCCAAAUUGACGGUACCUACUGAGAAAGCAACGGCUAACUACGUG
rnacentral:rRNA from 1 species